AAGCCUUCCUAUUUUGGAGCCAAGGGUCCGUUUACACGGCGAGUUUGUGUCAGGACGUGGACUAUGGAGUGUUUGUUUUCCCGAGAUGCAAGAAUAGAAGUGGACAUGGCGUGAAGAGCCAUUUUGCAUCAUCCUUGCGUCAACAUCAUUUCUGAGGGGCGGC